GGGUGAGUAACACGUGGGUGAUCUGCCCUGCACUUCGGGAUAAGCCUGGGAAACUGGGUCUAAUACCGGAUAGGAGCCAUUUUUAGUGUGAUGGUUGGAAAGUUUUUCGGUGUAGGAUGAGCUCGCGGCCUAUCAGCUUGUUGGUGGGGUAAUGGCCUACCAAGGCGGCGACGGGUAGCCGGCCUGAGAGGGUGGACGGCCACAUUGGGACUGAGACACGGCCCAG
rnacentral:rRNA from 1 species